AGACUAGAGCUGCAACAACUAAUCCAUAAAAAAAAUAAUCCACAACGAAUGUGAUUAUCGAUUAGUCGUGUCUGCUCACCGCGCACGGAAAACUUCCGCCAGUCACGUCACAUUACAACAGCGUUCUACUGACUAAAUGCAUCUAAAAAUAGCGGAUGAAACGGAGUGCGCUGUUUAAUGUGUGAGAAAUGGUUCCUUCCUUCUGUAAACGUUACAUAUUCAGCUGAAAUGUUUCCUUUCUUCUGUAAACGUUACAUAUUCGGCUGAAAUGGUUCCUUCCUUCUGUAAACGUUACAUAUUCAGCUGAAAUGUUUGAUUUUAGGUUUAAAAGUCAACAUGUAAUUCAAGUAUCUUAUGAUAGUAACUGUAAAGGGAUAACAACAGAGUGUGACUGAAUAUAAAAAGCAAUGACAGGAACAGAGUGAACGUGUGUGUUCCUGCAGAACAUUAUUCGCAUCUGUUAACACAGAGUUGAGUUAAACUGUCCUUUGUCCAUUUGUCCGUUUAAACUCUGCUUUAUAGCUCUUUUACACUUGGCACGUUUGUUUGAAGGACAGCAUUGGGCAGGAUGUGGAACAGUGUGUUUUGUCAA